GGUUAAAAAGCUCGUAGUUGGAUCUCGGCAAGUAGAGGGCGGUAUGCUUCGUAGCAUUACUGCCCUAUUACUUGUAGUUUUGCCAGAGGUUCCUGGGUGCUCUUAAUCGAGUGUCUAGGGAUGCUGGCAGGUUUACUUUGAAAAAAUUAGAGUGCUCAAAGCAGGCUAUUACGCUUGAAUAUUCGUGCAUGGAAUAAUAGAAUAGGAAGUUGUUUCUAUUUUGUUGGUUUUCGGAAAUCGACUUAAUGAUUAAUAGGGACAGUCGGGGGCAUUUGUAUUCAAACGACAGAGGUGAAAUUCUUGGACCGUUUGAAGACAAACUACUGCGAAAGCAUUUGCCAAGAAUGUUUUCAUUAAUCAAGAACGAAAGUUAGAGGUUCGAAGGCGAUUAGAUACCGCCCUAGUUCUAACCAUAAACGAUGCCAGCUAGCGAUCUGAGGACGUUUUUUUUGUAGACUCCUCAGGAAGCUUCCGGGAAACCAAAGCGUGUGGGUUCCGGGGGAAGUAUGGUUGCAAAGCUGAAACUUAAAGGAAUUGACGGAAGGGCACCACCAGGAGUGGAGCCUGCGGCUUAAUUUGACUCAACCCGGGAAAUCUCACCAGGCCCGGACACUGGAAGGAU
rnacentral:rRNA from 1 species